UACGUAGGGGGCAAGCGUUGUCCGGAAUCAUUGGGCGUAAAGAGCGUGUAGGCGGCUUGGCAAGUCUGGUGUGAAAUCUUGCGGCUCAACCGCAAGCGGUCACUGGAAACUGCCUCGCUAGAGUCCGGAAGAGGAGAGCGGAAUUCCUGGUGUAGCGGUGGAAUGCGCAGAUAUCAGGAAGAACACCCGUGGCGAAGGCGGCUCUCUGGGACGGUACUGACGGCUGAGACGCGAAAGCGUGGGGAGCGAACAGG
rnacentral:rRNA from 1 species